CAAGGAAGUGAAAGGGUGAGGCGAUUGCAGGGAGAGGCUGGAGUGUUUGUUAUUUGUGGAUGUCCGAGUAGCAGCAGAGAAUAGUUGCUAUCUACACGGCUUACGGAAGAGUCAGCGAAUGAACAGUUCGAUGGGACGACGGGGAUUUAACCACAAGAACACAAUCGGAGUUUAUAAUUGAAUAGCAGGACAAGCAGAGGGAGAACAAGUGAAGAGCUCUGACUGAAAUGGUCGAAUUUACAGAAGAGGAUCUGGUCUUUUACCUACUGAAUCAGGUGGAUCUGCGUCGUCGGCAAGUUUCAAAGACUGAAGAAGAAGUUUAUGCCAUAGUUCAAGAACUGACUUCCGCGAUCAGUGCAGAGGAUAGCCGCUUUCAGCCCAUUUCUCAUUCCGGAAUUAACAAUGAGAACAUUAAGGU